rnacentral:rRNA from 1 species
AGGGUUUGAUCCUGGCUCAGGACGAACGCUGGCGGCGUGCCUAAUACAUGCAAGUCGAGCGAAUUGAUGGGAGCUUGCUCCCUGAUAUUAGCGGCGGACGGGUGAGUAACACGUGGGUAACCUGCCUGUAAGAUUGGGAUAACUCCGGGAAACCGGAGCUAAUACCGGAUAAUAUGUUGAACCGCAUGGUUCAAUAUUGAAAGAUGGCUUCGGCUAUCACUUACAGAUGGACCCGCGGCGCAUUAGCUAGUUGGUGAGGUAACGGCUCACCAAGGCGACGAUGCGUAGCCGACCUGAGAGGGUGAUCGGCCACACUGGGACUGAGACACGGCCCAGACUCCUACGGGAGGCAGCAGUAGGGAAUCUUCCGCAAUGGACGAAAGUCUGACGGAGCAACGCCGCGUGAACGAUGAAGGCCUUCGGGUCGUAAAGUUCUGUUGUUAGGGAAGAACAAGUACCAGAGUAACUGCUGGCACCUUGACGGUACCUAACCAGAAAGCCACGGCUAACUACGUGCCAGCAGCCGCGGUAAUACGUAGGUGGCAAGCGUUGUCCGGAAUUAUUGGGCGUAAAGCGCGCGCA